AAUCAACGCUGGCGGCGUGCCUCAGACAUGCAAGUCGAACGAUUAAAGCUCUCUUCGGAGAGUGUAUAGAGUGGCGCACGGGUGAGUAACACGUAAGUAAUCUACCUUUGAGUGGGGAAUAACCCGGGGAAACCCGAGCUAAUACCGCAUAAUGCAGCGGCACCGCAAGGUGACAGUUGUUAAAGGAGCAAUCCGCUUAAAGAGGAGCUUGCGGCAGAUUAGCUAGUGGUAAGGUAAUGGCUUACCAAGGCUUCGAUCUGUGUCCGGCCUGAGAGGGGCGGUCGGACACACUGACACUGAAUAACGGGUCAGACUCCUACGGGAGGCAGCAGUCGGGAAUUUGGGCAAUGGGCGAAAGCCUGACCCAGCAACGCCGCGUGAAGGAUGAAGUAUUUCGGUAUGUAAACUCCGAAAGAAUGGGAAGAAUCAAUGACGGUACCAUUUAUAAGGUCCGGCUAACUACGUGCCAGCAGCCG
rnacentral:rRNA from 1 species